GAGUUUUCAACUCCCAACCCUUGCAAACCGUACCCCGUUCUGUUCUCGUUGCUUCUGGCGGGAGGCGGGAGGGCGCGGGGGGGUGUGGUGGCCUCGGCCGCCUCGCCCCUCCUCCGCCUUCCCCCCCUGGGUCCCCUCGGGGCGCCCGCCAGCGGUCAGCGAGCCGCCCGAACUUUUAUACCAACAGCAAACGUCUUCGUCUGAGCAACAAACAAAAAUAAGCAAAACUUUCAACAACGGAUCUCUUGGCUCUGGCAUCGAUGAAGAACGCAGCGAAAUGCGAUACGUAAUGCGAAUUGCAGAAUUCAGCGAGUCAUCGAAUCUUUGAACGCACAUUGCGCCCGCCAGCAUUCUGGCGGGCAUGCCUGUCCGAGCGUCAUUUCCCCCCUCAGCGCACCCUUUGCGCUGGCGUUGGGGCUCCUCCGCCCCGCUCGUGGGCGGCAGGGCCCUCAAAACCAGUGGCGGGCCCAGCUGGUGGCUCCGAGCGCAGUACCGAACGCAUCGUUCUCCUCUCGCUCUGCAGCUCCGGCCGGCGCCCAGCCGUCAAGCCGCGCGGGCGGUCCUCAGCGUCUUUUCGCCGAGCCGCCUCGCACUUUGUACCAAGGUUGACCUCGGAUCAGGUAGGACUACCCGCUGAACUUAAGCAUAUCA
rnacentral:sRNA from 1 species